rnacentral:lncRNA from 1 species
UAAAGUUUGCAAUAUUUUCUAAUCAAUUGUUAAGAUGGCCAACAUAAAUAAAUUGCAAAGUUCAUGUCCAAUAUGAGUCUUUUUGAAUUGUUCAUGUUCUUCUUUUGACACUUCCGGGUUACGAUCUGUGGGUUGCUGAAAAAAUUUACACCACCGAUGGCAACCUCCCUCUCAUCCGGAGCAUAGCAAACAAAUGAAAAUAGAUUUACUGAUGAGCAUGGUGCCGGAAGUGAUGACACGACGCCGACUUGGGAAAAUAAUGUCCUUUAUAGACCAUCGUUGUGCUUCGCUGGGUACCACAGUCGAUUCAAAUAUUUAAGGUCUGCUUUCAAGUUCCAAUGGCAACCGGAGAUAGUGAGGAUCCGAAGAUGGUGAGGUGUGCGAAUGGUUCGAACUAAAGAGGGUUUGGGCUUUAGGGGUUUUCAAAAUUUGGAGGAA